CAACUAGUCCUCAUUUCAGGUUUAUACAUAACAUAUAUAUGCAAAUGUUUUCAAAAUAUGCAUAACACAUAAAAGAAAAAUACUUGCUACGCAGCAUUACAUUAGAUCUGGUCAACUGUGAAGGUGCAGUAAGUGUGGCACGAUCGUGUUGGGAAUAUUCUCGCUCUAAUCGUUUCGUUCCAAAAUAUUGUUACCACUUUUUGGCCAUUUGCCACAUAACUGACCGCGAUGGAAGAAAGAUUAGUGGACCAAGAUGCUCAUUCUGCAUCAAAGAAAGCAAAGGGUUUCAGAGACAAUUCGGAUCUUCCUUGGUAAUAAGAAUCAACUAUAGUUACAUUUUCUUUGGUAGAGAGAUGGAAAAAGGCAAUGCCCUAAUUGUGAUUCCCGCAUUGGAAUACGUGCUCAAAAGUGCCCUGGUUGUAAAUCAGAUGUAAAGAGAAAAGAAAAAGACUGGGGAAAAAUUGCAUCAAAUUCCUCUGCUGAUGGAAAUUACAUAAAGGAGAAGCUUUUUAAUCGGGUGGGCUGAUAAAUCACUUUUCUAUCCUUGUAUUGUUUCAUUGAUAUUUCAAUUAUUAUUUUCAUUGGUAUUUCUCUUAAACAUUUUAGUAGCUACUUCUCAUCAUCAAGAAAUAUUUUUACCUCUAAGGCUACGAUUCCUUUGUUAACAGUUUUUUCAAAAUUACUUGGCAUUAUAUAUUAUCUGUUUUAGCAGAUAAAUAGCACUCAGAAACCUAGCUUUAUUAAAUUUAUCCAACUAUAUCCAGUUUGUUUUCACAAAAUCCUUGCAAAAUUAGAUUUUAUCAAAGUUCCUCCCGAGCUUCUUUUAUUAAAUUAACUGGAAAUAUUUUCAAACUAUUUUUUGUGGAACAGAAUGUAAAAAUGGCUUCGAAAGAAGCAAAAAUUUUAAGCACAUACUAAAUCUUUUCGUCUGUCACUCUUCAGAGUAUAAAACGUCAGAAAAUAGGUACAAAACUUUUUUAGGUACAAAACAAUCUUUUGGUGGUACAAAACUUGAAAAUGGCUUUGAAAAAAGCAAACAUUUGAGUAUACUAAAGCUUUUCGUCUGACAAUCCAAAGUAUACAACGUCAGAACAUAGACGGAAAACACUUCUCUAGGAAAUAUAUAUACCCAGUUGUAUAUCGAAAAAGGGCAAUCAGAAACGGGAGCACAUGACUAUAGAGGUUGUGAUUACUUAUGUAAUAAUCCCUUCGUACAGAUGAGUGUAUAAGUAGUAUCAACUUUAAACUAUCCUGUUCUAUAUACCAAAGGCGUAUACAGCUUUACCUAUAUGACAUCGAGCACUUAAUGACAAACAGGUGAACAAUAAUUUUCAUUAAGGGAUAUACUUAUAUGAUUAAUGAAGACAAUGUUCUGCUUGUGGUUUUGUCAUUUAGUUGGAUCAGCUAUCAACAGUUCCCGGUUGGACUGGCGUUGUCUUUCUAGUUCAUGAAAACGAAUCGAAAGGUGGGAAAAAGCGGCUAUAUACCCAUUCGUAUUCCACUAGAGGUGCCGGUGUGAAAAUCGAAACAGCUAUCCGGGACAAGGUUUUAAAUUCCAUGCGUCUUUUCAUAAGUAACCGUAAGUAGCAGAUUUCUGAGGUUUGUAUAUUUGAAUCGUUGUUCAUUGUUUAACUUUUAUUACAGCUGUUGCCCUGCUUAUUGAGGAAAUUUAUUAAAUUGUUUGUUAUUUUCCUUAGCAGGUGGUAUUGCCUCUGUGAUCUAUCUUCUAUCAUAUAAUAAUAAAUCUUGUAGAGCUCUUUAUGUAUACCAGCUUCAUUGAUAUGAAUGUUUUCAGGUCAGCGCAAAUCGGGACAGGAAGUAAACAGUUCCAGACAUGGCAUGGAAACUAGCACAUUUUCUUCUGCUGAUAACACGUUGGCAGUGAAUAACUCAGAAACACCAUCUUCCGCUCCAGCAUGUUCGACUGCUCUUGAAGAAUCUUCUUUUAAAGUGCUGACCACGUCGUCAUCUUUGUCAGAAUUGCAGCUCUCAUCGUCGCAAUCUGUCAUAUCCAGCCGAUUGCAGCCUAGUUCCUCUUCAACAACACAAGUCAGUCUAUCUGCUAUGGACCAGUCUGUUCAACCUGCCUCAGCUCCUAGCACUACAUCAAGCGCUGAACUUUCAUCCACUUCUUUCCACGAACUCACAACUUCAUCUGCUAUUGCUGAAACUAAAACAUCUUUCACUCCAAUCACUUCUAGGCACUUAACUCUAGGCUCUCUUUCACCAUCAACACCACAGUCUACUUCAACUAUGUCAAAUUGCUUAUCUGUACCUACGUCCUCAGUUAACUUUGUCUCAAUACCAGAUGACAGCACUACUUUGGCAUCAAAGUCGUCUCCAAAUUCCCUCGUUUCUUCAUCUGCCAUCCAAGUUCCUCUCUCUCAACUCAGUACAUCAACUUUACUGCAAUCUAUUUCCUGUAUUAACACAGUGCCUGGAACAUUACAAAGUCAACCAACUGAUAUGUCUUCAAUUAUUCAACGGUCAAUAAACCCGACAAUAAUCAAGGUUGGAGAAAAUAAAUAUAUUAUAAUGACAAAACCUAAAAAGAAUUGAGCAAUAAUGUGCUAUUCUGUAGGCAAUAGUUCAGCAUUGUAAUAAAUUAACGAGGGCUAGAAGAAGGUCGAAAAUUUAUUGAAAAUUAAAAUGAUAACGGAAACGGUAUGAUUAAUUGCUAUAUGGAAAGGAAAAUUGUAUUUAUCCUUCAAAAAUCACAAUAACUAACUCAAAAAUAAUUAGUUAUGUUGUGCAAUUGAUUACGGCAAACACUGAAUCGUAAAUUUCUCAGUUUGUUUAUCUUUGUUUGAUGCUUUUAGAGAACGAUUCUUUUCGGUUAUAUUUUGAAGUAAUCAAGACUUGCAUGUUGUCACUUUAAUACCUUCCCAUUUGCUAUGCUGUUAUUUAGUUAUAUUUUAUUAUGUAGCUUUUGCUUUGUAUAUUGCCGUUGUUUUGUUCAGUCGGGAAUGCCCCAUGAAAUAUUUUGGAGUAUGUUUUCUACACUAAAGGAUUUUUUCCAUCACGCUGUUCAUCAAACAAUUAUUUCGUUGCUGUUUGUUUGAGUAUACUUAUCGUUAAUAUUGCUUCUUUGUUUCGUUUAACCAUUAAUUGUUUAUCAGAUAAAAUGACCACUUUUGUUUGCAUGUUUGGUGGUUACACCGAACAUUGCAGUGUUUACUUGUCAAAGGAUGACAAUGCACAGUAAAUGAAUUCAUGUUUAAAGAAAAGUCGGAGCAGGACCUCUUCAUUUUUAAGGCCUAUGAUAAGGAUAAUGAUAUUAAAUAAAAAAAGGGAAUUCUCGCUCGAGAUUAAAGAGGAGAUCAGAUACGACCAACCCGGAAAAAGGCAAUGGAAAAAUAUAAAAGGAUCAUGAAACAAAUAACCUGGAUGCAGAAAAUUGUCUUGUUAGUUUCAUCUUGAAUGUUAAAAGAAGAAAAACUUGUGGCUCUUGGCCAUUUGUUACUGCUCAGGCAAUAAGAACAGUCUCCUCAGUCUGUGUAGACAAAUCAAAUGAUGGUAAUAAUAUAAAACAGUUAACAAGAAGGAGUAAAUUUAUCAAGGUCAUGGAAAUUAGUAUUGCUCGCAAUUUACAAUUUUUAUUUUAUCAUCUUUAUUGUGCAAAUAAAAAACUGCUGUUGCUUUGAGAUUCAGCUUUGCCUACAGUCUGGCUGUCAUUCAUUGUUGCUAAACUAUUUGUCAAUGCUUUAUAUAUAUCACUGAAAUGCA